rnacentral:rRNA from 1 species
GCUCAGGACGAACGCUGGCGGCGUGCCUAAUACAUGCAAGUAGAACGCUGAAGAGAGGAGCUUGCUCUUCUUGGAUGAGUUGCGAACGGGUGAGUAACGCGUAGGUAACCUGCCUUGUAGCGGGGGAUAACUAUUGGAAACGAUAGCUAAUACCGCAUAACAAUGGAUGACACAUGUCAUUUAUUUGAAAGGGGCAAUUGCUCCACUACAAGAUGGACCUGCGUUGUAUUAGCUAGUAGGUGAGGUAACGGCUCACCUAGGCGACGAUACAUAGCCGACCUGAGAGGGUGAUCGGCCACACUGGGACUGAGACACGGCCCAGACUCCUACGGGAGGCAGCAGUAGGGAAUCUUCGGCAAUGGGGGCAACCCUGACCGAGCAACGCCGCGUGAGUGAAGAAGGUUUUCGGAUCGUAAAGCUCUGUUGUAAGUCAAGAACGAGUGUGAGAGUGGAAAGUUCACACUGUGACGGUAGCUUACCAGAAAGGGACGGCUAACUACGUGCCAGCAGCCGCGGUAAUACGUAGGUCCCGAGCGUUGUCCGGAUUUAUUGGGCGUAAAGCGAGCGCAGGCGGUUUGAUAAGUCUGAAGUUAAAGGCUGUGGCUCAACCAUAGUUCGCUUUGGAAACUGUCAAACUUGAGUGCAGAAGGGGAGAGUGGAAUUCCAUGUGUAGCGGUGAAAUGCGUAGAUAUAUGGAGGAACACCGGUGGCGAAAGCGGCUCUCUGGUCUGUAACUGACGCUGAGGCUCGAAAGCGUGGGGAGCGAACAGGAUUAGAUACCCUGGUAGUCCACGCCGUAAACGAUGAGUGCUAGGUGUUGGAUCCUUUCCGGGAUUCAGUGCCGCAGCUAACGCAUUAAGCACUCCGCCUGGGGAGUACGACCGCAAGGUUGAAACUCAAAGGAAUUGACGGGGGCCCGCACAAGCGGUGGAGCAUGUGGUUUAAUUCGAAGCAACGCGAAGAACCUUACCAGGUCUUGACAUCCCGAUGCUAUUUCUAGAGAUAGAAAGUUACUUCGGUACAUCGGUGACAGGUGGUGCAUGGUUGUCGUCAGCUCGUGUCGUGAGAUGUUGGGUUAAGUCCCGCAACGAGCGCAACCCCUAUUGUUAGUUGCCAUCAUUCAGUUGGGCACUCUAGCGAGACUGCCGGUAAUAAACCGGAGGAAGGUGGGGAUGACGUCAAAUCAUCAUGCCCCUUAUGACCUGGGCUACACACGUGCUACAAUGGUUGGUACAACGAGUUGCGAGUCGGUGACGGCAAGCUAAUCUCUUAAAGCCAAUCUCAGUUCGGAUUGUAGGCUGCAACUCGCCUACAUGAAGUCGGAAUCGCUAGUAAUCGCGGAUCAGCACGCCGCGGUGAAUACGUUCCCGGGCCUUGUACACACCGCCCGUCACACCACGAGAGUUUGUAACACCCGAAGUCGGUGAGGUAACCUUUUGGAGCCAGCCGCCUAAGGUGGGAUAGAUGAUUGGGGUGAAGUCGUAACAAGGUAAC